AGUCGUAACAAGGUUUCCGUAGGUGAACCUGCGGAAGGAUCAUUAGUGAAGCUUGCUAAUGUUGUGAGCUGUCGAGAUGUGUGUUUAGUAUUGUGAAUGGAUUUUGAACAGUCAACACGGCGAGCUAGCCUCGCAAGUAUAUCGACAGGUAUUGUCGAUUGAUGGUGGACCAAUUAGCUGGUGGGUCGAUGAAGGACACAGCUAGCUGUGCGAAAGAAUGUGAAUUGCAGGACACAUGAGCAUCGACACUUUGAACGCAUAUUGCGGGUGAAUGGAUUCCAUUCACCCAGUCAUGGAUCAAGGCCGGUUAAUCGAGAAAGCUAGAAGGCUUCGUGUAUCUGACUGCUUGUCAGAGCGUUGCCGCUUAAUCGAGAAAAGCUGUCUGGUUCCCGUCGAGUUAAAGCCAUUCAGUCGUGAGAGAAGCACGGCAGGCAUGAAUGGUUGACGGGAGAUAAAAGCCUGAUAGCGUGGUGAGCAGGGAUCGAAACGGAAACGACCCCUAACCUGACACAUCCAUAUAACCGCGGCUUGAUCUCAUGACAGGCUACCCGCUGAAUUUAAGCAUAUCAAUA
rnacentral:rRNA from 1 species